rnacentral:rRNA from 1 species
GCUAUUGGAGUUCGAUUAAGCCAUGCGAGUCGAGAGUCUUAGGGACUCGGCGUACCGCUCAGUAACACGUGGGUAACCUGCCCUAUGCUGGGGAAUAACCUCGGGAAACUGAGAAUAAUGCCCCAUAGUCCACAAUGCCUGGAACGGUUUGUGGAUCAAAGCUCCGGCGGCAUAGGAUGGGCCUGCGGCGUAUCAGGUUGUAGGGGGUGUAACGUACCCUCUAACCAUCAACGCGUACGGGUGUUGGGAGACAUAGCCCGGAGAUGGAUUCUGAGACACGAAUCCAGACCCUACGGGGUGCAGCAGGCGCGAAAACUUGGCAAUGCGAGAAAUCGUGACCAGGGAACUCCAAGGGGCUGGGGUAAGACCCAGUCUUUUCUUGACUCUUCAAAGGUCUUGGAAUAAGGGGUGGGUAAGGACGGUGCCAGCCGCCGCGGUAAUACCGGCGCCUCAAGUGGUAGUCGAUUUUAUUGGGCCUAAAACGUCCGUAGCCUGUUUGGUACAUUCGUGGGUAAAUCAACCAGCUCAACUGGUUGAAUUCUGCGAGCACGGCCAGACUUGGGACCGGGAGAGGUGUGGGGUACGCUCAGGGUAGGGGUAAAAUCCUGUCAUCCUGAGCGGACCACCUGUUGCGAAGGCGCCACACUAGAACGGAUCCGACGGUCAGGGAYGAAGCCUAGGGGCACGAACCGGAUUAGAUACCCGGGUAGUCCUAGGUGUAAACGCUGUGGACUUGGUGUUGGGGACUCUCCGAGAUUCCUCAGUGCCGAAGCGAAGGUGAUAAGUCCACUGCCUGGGGAGUACGGCCGCAAGGCUGAAACUUAAAGGAAUUGGCGGGGGAGCACCGC